AGUAAAUAUUUGUCGGGAGGGUGAGAUCUCUCGUGGGUUCGAGCCGAGCGCAGCGAGACCACAUCGGAGCCUGCGACGAUAGCCCGAAGGGCGAGGAGUGCAACGACGAGUAAUCCCUCCCUCACCGCCA
rnacentral:sRNA from 1 species